GUCUUCGUGGUGUAGUGGUCAGCAAGCUCGAUGCGCAACCGAGAGGUCCAUGGUUCGAUUCCCGGCGAAAACU
rfam:Stegodyphus mimosarum contig60620, whole genome shotgun sequence.